UAUAACUUAUUAACUUAGUAGGUGAGAUUGGAGCAAUUAUGAUUUAAAAAAAGUUAUUUUUAUAAAAUGGUCACUAUAUCCUGACCGUAGUACAUGAAACGGGUAACCU